rnacentral:rRNA from 1 species
CCUACGGGGGGCUGCAGUCGAGAAUCUUGGGCAAUGCACGAAAGUGUGACCCAGCGACGCCGCGUGGAGGAUGAAGGCGCUCUGCGUUGUAAACUCCUUUUAAGAGGAAAGAACGCUCCUUCGGGAGCUUGACGGUACCUCUUGAAUAAGCCACGGCUAACUACGUGCCAGCAGCCGCGGUAAUACGUAGGUGGCAAGCGUUGUCCGGAUUUACUGGGCGUAAAGCGUAUGCAGGCGGAUGCCUAAGUAGGAAGUGAAAGGUUGGAGCUCAACUCUAACACUGCUCCCUAUACUGGGUGUCUUGAGUGCCGGAGAGGAAGAUGGAACUGCACGUGUAGCGGUGAAAUGCGUUGAGAUGUGCAGGAACACCAAUGGCGAAAGCAGUCUUCUGGACGGAUACUGACGCUGAGAUACGAAAGCCAAGGGAGCGAACAGGAUUA